GAUGAACGCUUUCUUCUUUCCUAAUACAUGCAAGUCGAGCGAACAGACGAGGAGCUUGCUCCUCUGACGUUAGCGGCGGACGGGUGAGUAACACGUGGAUAACCUACCUAUAAGACUGGGAUAACUUCGGGAAACCGGAGCUAAUACCGGAUAAUAUAUUGAACCGCAUGGUUCAAUAGUGAAAGACGGUUUUGCUGUCACUUAUAGAUGGAUCCGCGCCGCAUUAGCUAGUUGGUAAGGUAACGGCUUACCAAGGCAACGAUGCGUAGCCGACCUGAGAGGGUGAUCGGCCACACUGGAACUGAGACACGGUCCAGACUCCUACGGGAGGCAGCAGUAGGGAAUCUUCCGCAAUGGGCGAAAGCUUGACGGAGCAACGCCGCGUGAGUGAUGAAGGUCUUCGGAUCGUAAAACUCUGUUAUUAGGGAAGAACAAAUGUGUAAGUAACUAUGCACGUCUUGACGGUACCUAAUCAGAAAGCCACGGCUAACUACGUG
rnacentral:rRNA from 1 species